GGAUCAUUACAAGAGAGUAGAAAUACUCGUAACCCUUUGCGAACAUACCUUUUUGUCAGUUGCUUCGGCGGGAGGCCCCUGGGAGGGGCCCCGGGGCCCGGCCGCGCCGGGCUCCCGCCGGAGGGACGCCCCCAAAACUCUUGCUGUACCACAGUGGCACGUCCGAGUCCAACAAACAAACAAAUCAAAACUUUCAACAACGGAUCUCUUGGUUCUGGCAUCGAUGAAGAACGCAGCGAAAUGCGAUAAGUAAUGUGAAUUGCAGAAUUCAGUGAAUCAUCGAAUCUUUGAACGCACAUUGCGCCCGCCAGCAUUCUGGCGGGCAUGCCUGUUCGAGCGUCAUUUCAACCCCUCGGGCCCUGGUGCCCGGCGUCGGGGCGUUCCCUCGCGGGAAGCCCUCAGAAACAGUGGCGGACCCGCCGCGGCUCCGAGCGCAGUAGUAACAUUCUCGCUUAGGAGGUCCGCGGGGGGGCUCCCGGCCGUAAAACCCGGCCUUCGGGCCAUCUCACAAGGUUGACCUCGGAUCAGGUAGGAAUACCCGCUGAACUUAAGCAUAUCAAUAAGCGGAGGAAAAGAAACCAACAGGGAUUGCCCCAGUAACGGCGAGUGAAGCGGCAACAGCUCAGAUUUGAAAUCUGGUCCCCAGGGCCCGAGUUGUAAUCUGUAGAGGAUGCUUUUGGCAAGGCGCCGUCCGAGUUCCCUGGAACGGGACGCCGGAGAGGGUGAGAGCCCCGUACAGGCGGACGCCGAGCCUCUGUAAAGCUCCUUCGACGAGUCGAGUAGUUUGGGAAUGCUGCUCAAAGCGGGAGGUAAAUUUCUUCUAAAGCUAAAUACCGGCCAGAGACCGAUAGCGCACAAGUAGAGUGAUCGAAAGAUGAAAAGCACUUUGAAAAGAGAGUUAAAAAGCACGUGAAAUUGUUGAAAGGGAAGCGCCUGUGACCAGACUCGCGCCCGGCGGAUCAUCCGGCGUUCUCGCCGGUGCACUCCGCCGGGCUCGGGCCAGCAUCGGUUCUCGCGGGGGGAUAAAAGCGGCGGGGAUGUGGCUCCCCCGGGAGUGUUAUAGCCCGCCGCCCAAUGCCCCCGCGGGGACCGA
rnacentral:misc_RNA from 1 species